rnacentral:rRNA from 1 species
AGGGGAUAACACUUGGAAACAGGUGCUAAUACCGUAUAACAAUCAAAACCGCAUGGUUUUGAUUUGAAAGGCGCUUUCGGGUGUCGCUGAUGGAUGGACCCGCGGUGCAUUAGCUAGUUGGUGAGGUAACGGCUCACCAAGGCCACGAUGCAUAGCCGACCUGAGAGGGUGAUCGGCCACAUUGGGACUGAGACACGGCCCAAACUCCUACGGGAGGCAGCAGUAGGGAAUCUUCGGCAAUGGACGAAAGUCUGACCGAGCAACGCCGCGUGAGUGAAGAAGGUUUUCGGAUCGUAAAACUCUGUUGUUAGAGAAGAACAAGGAUGAGAGUAACUGUUCAUCCCUUGACGGUAUCUAACCAGAAAGCCACGGCUAACUACGUGCCAGCAGCCGCGGUAAUACGUAGGUGGCAAGCGUUGUCCGGAUUUAUUGGGCGUAAAGCGAGCGCAGGCGGUUUCUUAAGUCUGAUGUGAAAGCCCCCGGCUCAACCGGGGAGGGUCAUUGGAAACUGGGAGACUUGAGUGCAGAAGAGGAGAGUGGAAUUCCAUGUGUAGCGGUGAAAUGCGUAGAUAUAUGGAGGAACACCAGUGGCGAAGGCGGCUCUCUGGUCUGUAACUGACGCUGAGGCUCGAAAGCGUGGGGAGCAAACAGGAUUAGAUACCCUGGUAGUCCACGCCGUAAACGAUGAGUGCUAAGUGUUGGAGGGUUUCCGCCCUUCAGUGCUGCAGCUAACGCAUUAAGCACUCCGCCUGGGGAGUACGACCGCAAGGUUGAAACUCAAAGGAAUUGACGGGGGCCCGCACAAGCGGUGGAGCAUGUGGUUUAAUUCGAAGCAACGCGAAGAACCUUACCAGGUCUUGACAUCCUUUGACCACUCUAGAGAUAGAGCUUCCCCUUCGGGGGCAAAGUGACAGGUGGUGCAUGGUUGUCGUCAGCUCGUGUCGUGAGAUGUUGGGUUAAGUCCCGCAACGAGCGCAACCCUUAUUGUUAGUUGCCAUCAUUCAGUUGGGCACUCUAGCAAGACUGCCGGUGACAAACCGGAGGAAGGUGGGGAUGACGUCAAAUCAUCAUGCCCCUUAUGACCUGGGCUACACACGUGCUACAAUGGGAAGUACAACGAGUCGCGAAGUCGCGAGGCUAAGCUAAUCUCUUAAAGCUUCUCUCAGUUCGGAUUGCAGGCUGCAACUCGCCUGCAUGAAGCCGGAAUCGCUAGUAAUC